rnacentral:rRNA from 1 species
UGGGGAAUAUUGGACAAUGGGCGAAAGCCUGAUCCAGCAAUGCCGCGUGAGUGAAGAAGGCCUUAGGGUUGUAAAUCUCUUUUACCCGGGAAGAUAAUGACUGUACCGGGAGAAUAAGCCCCGGCUAACUCCGUGCCAGCAGCCGCGGUAAUACGGAGGGGGCUAGCGUUGUUCGGAAUUACUGGGCGUAAAGCGUACGUAGGCGGCUUUGUAAGUUAGAGGUGAAAGCCCAGGGCUUAACCUUGGAACUGCCUUUAAGACUGCAAAGCUUGAACACGGGAGAGGUGAGUGGAAUUCCGAGUGUAGAGGUGAAAUUCGUAGAUAUUCGGAAGAACACCAGUGGCGAAGGCGGCUCACUGGACCGUUGUUGACGCUGAGGUACGAAAGCGUGGGGAGCAAACAGGAUUAGAUACCCUGGUAGUCCACGCCGUAAACGAUGAUGACUAGCUGUCUGGGCUCUUAGAGCUUAGGUGGCGCAGCUAACGCAUUAAGUCAUCCGCCUGGGGAGUACGGCCGCAA